AAAAACCCUAAUUGAGGAGUCUCUAGCUGCUUGCUCACACCUGCUUUUACUCUAACCUGGACAACUCACAGUCAAGACCUUCCGUCCGGUAACAAAGCAACAGACCUCAGUCAUGUCAUCUGCUUACAAAGGAGCCACGAAUCAAGACCGAUUCCGUGUGCUCUUGACGAUUCUGUUACACUCCUGCAGGGUAUCGCUCUGCCUCCCAGGCUGGAGUGCAG
rnacentral:lncRNA from 1 species